AAGUCGUAACAAGGUAACCGUAGGUGAACCUGCGGUUGGAUCAUUAACAAAAUGAUAAGAGUCGUUGGAUUUUUAUAUCCAAUGGCUUUUAUAAACAACUGUGAACUGUAAUUUGUAUCUGGUGGGGCUAUAGUUUGGUUGAAAGACUUUAUUUAGAAUCCCACCAUCAAUAAUUUGAACUUUUAUUAAUCAUGAACUAGUUUUUAAUUUAAAAUUUAAUUAUAAACAACUUUUGACAACGGAUCUCUAGGCUCUC
rnacentral:misc_RNA from 1 species